UUAUUCCCACACAUGUGGUUGCUUGCACCACUAUCAAGGUGACACUUGUGAACCUCAUUUGGUUCAUCCUUCUUAUAAGCCAUCAAUAGCAUAUCUUCUUCUUUACUCCUUUCUUCAACAUAGUUGGACCUCUCUUCAACUCUAUUGUUGUUUGGAGUUUUGCACUCAGAAGCAUAAUGUCCAAACUUCCCACAACUAUAGCAUUUGAUUCUUGAUUUAUCGUACCUUGAUUUUGCAUUUCCUCUUCCACGACCUCUUGAUGAGUUCUCUCCUAUUUGGUUGAAGUUAACUUCAUAUGGUCUCCAACCU
rnacentral:lncRNA from 1 species